rnacentral:rRNA from 1 species
CGGGUGAGUAACACGUGAACAAUCUGUCCUUACGUUCCGAAUAAUUGACCGAAAGGUCUUGUAAUGCGGGCGAGGAUGGCGGGGGGGCAUCCCUCUGUCAGGGAACGCGCAAGUGGCGCAAGGAGGAGUUCGCGGCCUAUCAGGUAGUAGGUGGGGUAAUGGCCUACCUAGCCGACGACGGGUAGCUGGUCUGAGAGGAUGGUCAGCCACAUUGGAACUGAGAUACUGUCCAG